GUGUUGUUGCGAUCGUAAUCCUGCUCAGUACGAGAGGAACAGAAGUUCAGACCUUUGGUGUAUGUGCUUGGCUGUUGAGCCAAUGGGGUGAAGCUACGAUCUGUCGGAUUAUAACUGAACGCCUCUAAGUCAGAAUCCCCCCAAAUGUAUUUAUAACUAUUAUCUAAUUCCCACUUUAGCUGUGUUUCUGCUAUCAGAAUAUUUUUAUUGAAACAAUCAAUUUUCUUUCAAAUCCAUUCCUAGUCUCUCAAUUCAGAUACUCUUUGUACAAGUCCUUUGCAAAACUAUGUAAAUCUACAAAGUAGGGCUGCUAUGCUCCAAAUUCACACAGUUAUGAAGGGAUGUUUACUACUAGUAUUAUUUUG